UACAUGGCCUCUUUAUAUGAGAAUCUUGGA
rnacentral:piRNA from 1 species